UGCUGGUAACUCUACACAAAGCACAGUUCCGGCUCCAACUCCAGCAGCUGAUACUCCAGGCCAGGUUUCAGCAGCAGCUGAGCUCCGUCCUCAGCACUGGCAGCUUCCGUGUAGGCAGCUUGUUUCCCUGGAUUGGAUUGAGUUUGCAAACUUGUCCCCCUCCCUGCAGGGUGUGUGUGUAUGAAAACAGCAUGUCCCCCUUCGAGAUGGAGGCAGAGGGGAACAGCGCGUCCCCCUCAUGGUGGGGAGGUGGGCAAGGUGAAAAGGAAGCAGACCCCAGCUGCCUUGGGCUGGCAGCCCCAGCAGCUUCACCACCUAGCUACAGACCGCCCUGGUGGCCUAGUCAUUCAGUACUACAUAACACAGAAUACCAAUAGAUAAAGUGGACAUCAGUUGAAGUUGUUUGUGAAAAUUGAACGUCAUAUUAGCUUACAAAUUUAGUCCUUUUAAAAAUUCGGUUGUUAUAAUUUUAGUGUUUUAUUUCUUUAAUGGAUUAAACAUAAUAAUAAUUCUUAUCUACUGUAUGUUAUAAACACCAUGUUAGAUCAUUAAAAGGUCAUUUUUAAGCACA